AACGAACGCUGGUGGCAGGCUUAACACAUGCAAGUCGAACGCCCCGCAAGGGGAGUGGCAGACGGGUGAGUAACGCGUGGGAACGUGCCCUUCGCUUCGGAAUAGCCCCGGGAACCGGGGAGUAAUACCGAAUACGCCGUAUUGGGAAAGAUUUAUCGGGGAAGGAUCGGCCCGCGUUAGAUUAGCUAGUUGGCGGUGUAAUGGACAACCAAGGCUACGAUCUAUAGCUGGUCUGAGAGGAUGAUCAGCCACAUUGGGACUGAGACACGGCCCAGACUCCUACGGGAGGCAGCAGUGGGGAAUCUUGGACAAUGGGCGCAAGCCUGAUCCAGCCAUGCCGCGUGAGUGAAGAAGGCCUUAGGGUUGUAAAACUCUUUCGCCGGAGAAGAUAAUGACGGUAUCCGGAGAAGAAGCCCCGGCUAACUUCGUGCCAGCAGCCGCCGCAG
rnacentral:rRNA from 1 species